rnacentral:ncRNA from 1 species
CUACAUUCCCGGUGUCGCUGCCAAAUCAGCGAUACGGGUUUCGCAGCCCGGCGG